GACGAACGCUGGCGGCGCGCCUAACACAUGCAAGUCGAACGAGCGAGAGAGAGCUUGCUUUCUCGAGCGAGUGGCGAACGGGUGAGUAACGCGUGAGGAACCUGCCUCAAAGAGGGGGACAACAGUUGGAAACGACUGCUAAUACCGCAUAAGCCCACGACCCGGCAUCGGGUAGAGGGAAAAGGAGCAAUCCGCUUUGAGAUGGCCUCGCGUCCGAUUAGCUAGUUGGUGAGGUAACGGCCCACCAAGGCGACGAGCGGUAGCCGGACUGGGAGGUUGAACGGCCACAUUGGGACUGAGACACGGCCCAGACUCCUACGGGAGGCAGCAGUGGGGAAUAUUGCACAAUGGGGGAAACCCUGAUGCAGCGACGCCGCGUGGAGGAAGAAGGUCUUCGGACUGUAAACUCCUGUUGUUGAGGAAGAUAAUGACGGUACUCAACAAGGAAGUGACGGCUAACUACGUG
rnacentral:rRNA from 1 species